rnacentral:rRNA from 1 species
AACGAACGCUGGCGGCAGGCUUAACACAUGCAAGUCGAGCGCCCCGCAAAGGGAGCGGCAGACGGGUGAGUAACGCGUGGGAAUCUACCCAUCUCUACGGAAUAACGCAUGGAAACGUGUGCUAAUACCGUAUACGUCCUUAGGGAGAAAGAUUUAUCGGAGAUGGAUGAGCCCGCGUUGGAUUAGCUAGUUGGUGGGGUAAAGGCCUACCAAGGCGACGAUCCAUAGCUGGUCUGAGAGGAUGAUCAGCCACACUGGGACUGAGACACGGCCCAGACUCCUACGGGAGGCAGCAGUGGGGAAUAUUGGACAAUGGGCGCAAGCCUGAUCCAGCCAUGCCGCGUGAGUGAUGAAGGCCCUAGGGUUGUAAAGCUCUUUCACCGGUGAAGAUAAUGACGGUAACCGGAGAAGAAGCCCCGGCUAACUUCGUGCCAGCAGCCGCAGUAAGAC